AACGAACGCUGGCGGCAUGCCUAACACAUGCAAGUCGAACGAGACCUUCGGGUCUAGUGGCGCUCGGGUGCGUAACGCGUGGUAACCUGCCCUUAGGUUCGGAAUAACUCCCCGAAAGGGGUGCUAAUACCGGAUAAUGUCUUCGGACCAAAGAUUUUUCGCCUUUGGAUGGGCCCGCGUUGGAUUAGCUAGUUGGUAGGGUAAAAGCCUACCAAGGCGACGAUCCAUAGCUGGUCUGAGAGGAUGAUCAGCCACACUGGGACUGAGACACGGCCCAGACUGCUACGGGAGGCAGCGGUGGGGAAUAUUGGGCAAGGGGGGAAAGCCUGAGGCAGCAAUGCCGGGUGAGUGAUGAAGGCCUUUGGGUUGUAAAGCUCUUUUAACCGGGAUGAUAAUGACAGUACCGGGAGAAUAAGCUCCGGCUAACUCCGUG
rnacentral:rRNA from 1 species